rnacentral:lncRNA from 1 species
UGAACACAGGGAUUUCACACCAAGCUGCAUCCCCAGAUGUUUUUUGUUUGUUUGUUGAGACAGGGUCUGGCUAAGUCUCCAAGCUGCCCAGGCUGGGCUUGAACCUGCGGCCCUCCUGCCCCUGGGAUGACAGGCACGCACCACCACCACCGUGUCCAGCUUCCGAGAACUCCUCGCACCCAGCAGAGGAGAGGGAUCUGGUAUCCAGAUGCCCAGCGGGAAUGGUGCACACGAUCGAGCGUUUCCUGGUGCCACAGCCUCAGGCCCCGGCGCCCUACCAGGCCAGCUUCGGCCCUGUGAAGGAGCUGUUGUUCCUGUCUUACCGCUGGGGGACCCGGGCUCAGAGACGCUGGGACGGCAGCUGAAGGGUGCACAGUGAAGAGCGGGCCUGCCCAGGCGGGGCGGAGGCGUGCGGCCCGUGAGUCACCCCGCUGCAGCGCCGGCCUGGCCGGCCCGGGCCCGGGCUGUUUUGGACAUCAGGCGGAGCUGGGCCCGGAGAACGCGGUUCUAAGCCGGAAUUUUCAGGGCCUCCAGCUUGCUCUGAGUGUCCCGUCCUGUCCACUUGCAGCAUUUGACAAAAAUAAAGGAAAAGCGCAAAAAAAACAAAAAAAACAAAAAAAAAAAACAAAGAGGGGGAGCAUCUUCCAUCUUCCAAAGCUGCCUCACCCCCUUCCGAGCGCGGACGCCGUGUCCCCCGCCUGCUUCCUGCCCUCGCAGACCCCGCGCUCCUCACGGAGGCUCAGCGAGUGCUCCCCACGGAGCAGAACGCAGCGCGCUGCCUGGAACCUUCCUGCGGCUGAGCCUCUUCCUACAUCAAGCCGGGUCCUCGGGAGGGAGGCGUCUGCUCCCCGCCGCUCCUCUACUCCCAUCCAGGCUCCUUCCGGUCUCUGGACGCUGAGCUUGCCUCCUCUAGGCGGAGCUGAUGAUCGUGCCCUCCCCUCUCUCUACCUGGACUCUGAACCAGGGGCUCCUUCUCAGAGAAGUCUGUGACUGACAAAGUUGUCCCCACCUGGUCCCCUCAUCCUCCCUGUGUCAGGGCAUCCUCCCUGGUCACUGCCUCCCCUCCUGGGCCGUGUGUUCCUUUUAUCUCCUGAUGCAUCUCCCCGAGGCCCAGCACGGUGCCUGGAAGUGGUAGGUGCUCAUUGCUUGAUGCGAACGAACGCAUCCACAUCAUAAAGCACACACGGGCGUCUUUCCUCCCUCCCUGCCUUCCCCCUCCUCUCUGCUUCCUUCCUUCUCCCUCUGAUCUUUCUCUCACGCUCUUUUCUCUGUCUCCCUUUCUCCCCCUCUUCUCUUCUCUCUUUGUAGUGCUAGGGGAUCAAAUCCAGGGCCUCCACCAUGCUAGGCAAGCAGCCAUCCUUUGAAUACAUCCCCCAGCCUUUGCAGAUGUUUUCAUUUACAAAUAUUUUAGACAUCUAAGAUACAACUGUAAGCCAGGCGUGGUGGCGCACACCUGU